rnacentral:rRNA from 1 species
UACGUAGGGUGCGAGCGUUGUCCGGAAUUACUGGGCGUAAAGAGCUCGUAGGUGGUUUGUCGCGUUGUCCGUGAAAUUCCCUGACUUAACUGGGGGCGUGCGGGCGAUACGGGCAGACUGGAGUACUGCAGGGGAGACUGGAAUUCCUGGUGUAGCGGUGGAAUGCGCAGAUAUCAGGAGGAACACCGGUGGCGAAGGCGGGUCUCUGGGCAGUAACUGACGCUGAGGAGCGAAAGCGUGGGGAGCGAACAGG